rnacentral:rRNA from 1 species
CCUAUAAGACUGGGAUAACUUCGGGAAACCGGAGCUAAUGCCGGAUAACAUAUAGAACCGCAUGGUUCUAUAGUGAAAGAUGGUUUUGCUAUCACUUAUAGAUGGACCCGCGCCGUAUUAGCUAGUUGGUAAGGUAAUGGCUUACCAAGGCGACGAUACGUAGCCGACCUGAGAGGGUGAUCGGCCACACUGGAACUGAGACACGGUCCAGACUCCUACGGGAGGCAGCAGUAGGGAAUCUUCCGCAAUGGGCGAAAGCCUGACGGAGCAACGCCGCGUGAGUGAUGAAGGUUUUCGGAUCGUAAAACUCUGUUAUUAGGGAAGAACAAAUGCGUAAGUAACUGUGCGCAUCUUGACGGUACCUAAUCAGAAAGCCACGGCUAACUACGUGCCAGCAGCCGCGGUAAUACGUAGGUGGCAAGCGUUAUCCGGAAUUAUUGGGCGUAAAGCGCGCGUAGGCGGUUUCUUAAGUCUGAUGUGAAAGCCCACGGCUCAACCGUGGAGGGUCAUUGGAAACUGGGAAACUUGAGUGCAGAAGAGGAAAGUGGAAUUCCAUGUGUAGCGGUGAAAUGCGCAGAGAUAUGGAGGAACACCAGUGGCGAAGGCGACUUUCUGGUCUGUAACUGACGCUGAUGUGCGAAAGCGUGGGGAUCAAACAGGAUUAGAUACCCUGGUAGUCCACGCCGUAAACGAUGAGUGCUAAGUGUUAGGGGGUUUCCGCCCCUUAGUGCUGCAGCUAACGCAUUAAGCACUCCGCCUGGGGAGUACGACCGCAAGGUUGAAACUCAAGG